UACAGAGGUCUCGAGCGUUAGGCGGAAUCACUGGGCUUAAAGCGUGUGUAGGCGGAUCGGUAAGUACCUUGUGAAAUCCCACAGCUUAACUGUGGAACUGCUUGGUAUACUGCCAGUCUUGAGCCACUUAGGGGCUACCGGAACAAACGGUGGAGCGGUGAAAUGCGUAGAUAUCGUUUGGAACGCCAAUGGUGAAAACAGGUAACUGGGAGUGUGCCGACGCUGAGACACGAAAGCCAGGGGAGCGAACGGG
rnacentral:rRNA from 1 species